rnacentral:rRNA from 2 species
GGGUUGUGAGGUUAAGCGACUAAGCGUACACGGUGGAUGCCCUGGCAGUCAGAGGCGAUGAAGGGCGUGCUAAUCUGCGAUAAGCGCCGGUAAGGUGAUAUGAACCGUUAUAACCGGCGAUACCCGAAUGGGGAAACCCAGUGUGACUCGUCACACUAUCAUUAACUGAAUCCAUAGGUUAAUGAGGCGAACCGGGGGAACUGAAACAUCUAAGUACCCCGAGGAAAAGAAAUCAACCGAGAUUCCCCCAGUAGCGGCGAGCGAACGGGGAGGAGCCCAGAGCCUGAAUCAGCAUGUGUGUUAGUGGAAGCGUCUGGAAAGGCGCGCGAUACAGGGUGACAGCCCCGUACACAAAAGCGCAUGUGCUGUGAGCUCGAUGAGUAGGGCGGGACACGUGGUAUCCUGUCUGAAUAUGGGGGGACCAUCCUCCAAGGCUAAAUACUCCUGACUGACCGAUAGUGAACCAGUACCGUGAGGGAAAGGCGAAAAGAACCCCGGCGAGGGGAGUGAAAAAGAACCUGAAACCGUGUACGUACAAGCAGUGGGAGNNNNNNNNNNNNNNNNUGACUGCGUACCUUUUGUAUAAUGGGUCAGCGACUUAUAUUCUGUAGCAAGGUUAACCGAAUAGGGGAGCCGGAGGGAAACCGAGUCUUAAUUGGGCGUUAAGUUGCAGGGUAUAGACCCGAAACCCGGUGAUCUAGCCAUGGGCAGGUUGAAGGUUGGGUAACACUAACUGGAGGACCGAACCGACUAAUGUUGAAAAAUUAGCGGAUGACCUGUGGCUGGGGGUGAAAGGCCAAUCAAACCGGGAGAUAGCUGGUUCUCCCCGAAAGCUAUUUAGGUAGCGCCUCGUGAAUUCAUCUCCGGGGGUAGAGCACUGUUUCGGCUAGGGGGCCAUCCCGGCUUACCAACCCGAUGCAAACUGCGAAUACCGGAGAAUGUUAUCACGGGAGACACACGGCGGGUGCUAACGUCCGUCGUGAAGAGGGAAACAACCCAGACCGCCAGCUAAGGUCCCAAAGUCAUGGUUAAGUGGGAAACGAUGUGGGAAGGCCCAGACAGCCAGGAUGUUGGCUUAGAAGCAGCCAUCAUUUAAAGAAAGCGUAAUAGCUCACUGGUCGAGUCGGCCUGCGCGGAAGAUGUAACGGGGCUAAACCAUGCACCGAAGCUGCGGCAGCGACACUGUGUGUUGUUGGGUAGGGGAGCGUUCUGUAAGCCUGCGAAGGUGGCCUGUGAGGGUUGCUGGAGGUAUCAGAAGUGCGAAUGCUGACAUAAGUAACGAUAAAGCGGGUGAAAAGCCCGCUCGCCGGAAGACCAAGGGUUCCUGUCCAACGUUAAUCGGGGCAGGGUGAGUCGACCCCUAAGGCGAGGCCGAAAGGCGUAGUCGAUGGGAAACGGGUUAAUAUUCCCGUACUUGGUGUUACUGCGAAGGGGGGACGGAGAAGGCUAUGUUGGCCGGGCGACGGUUGUCCCGGUUUAAGCGUGUAGGUGUGUGUUCCAGGUAAAUCCGGUUCACUUUAACACUGAGGCGUGACGACGAGGCACUACGGUGCUGAAGCAACAAAUGCCCUGCUUCCAGGAAAAGCCUCUAAGCAUCAGGUAACAUCAAAUCGUACCCCAAACCGACACAGGUGGUCAGGUAGAGAAUACCAAGGCGCUUGAGAGAACUCGGGUGAAGGAACUAGGCAAAAUGGUGCCGUAACUUCGGGAGAAGGCACGCUGACACGUAGGUGAAGUGAUUUACUCAUGGAGCUGAAGUCAGUCGAAGAUACCAGCUGGCUGCAACUGUUUAUUAAAAACACAGCACUGUGCAAACACGAAAGUGGACGUAUACGGUGUGACGCCUGCCCGGUGCCGGAAGGUUAAUUGAUGGGGUCAGCGCAAGCGAAGCUCCUGAUCGAAGCCCCGGUAAACGGCGGCCGUAACUAUAACGGUCCUAAGGUAGCGAAAUUCCUUGUCGGGUAAGUUCCGACCUGCACGAAUGGCGUAAUGAUGGCCAGGCUGUCUCCACCCGAGACUCAGUGAAAUUGAACUCGCUGUGAAGAUGCAGUGUACCCGCGGCAAGACGGAAAGACCCCGUGAACCUUUACUAUAGCUUGACACUGAACAUUGAGCCUUGAUGUGUAGGAUAGGUGGGAGGCUUUGAAGUGUGGACGCCAGUCUGCAUGGAGCCGACCUUGAAAUACCACCCUUUAAUGUUUGAUGUUCUAACGUGGACCCGUUACCCGGGUUGCGGACAGUGUCUGGUGGGUAGUUUGACUGGGGCGGUCUCCUCCUAAAGAGUAACGGAGGAGCACGAAGGUUGGCUAAUCCUGGUCGGACAUCAGGAGGUUAGUGCAAUGGCAUAAGCCAGCUUGACUGCGAGCGUGACGGCGCGAGCAGGUGCGAAAGCAGGUCAUAGUGAUCCGGUGGUUCUGAAUGGAAGGGCCAUCGCUCAACGGAUAAAAGGUACUCCGGGGAUAACAGGCUGAUACCGCCCAAGAGUUCAUAUCGACGGCGGUGUUUGGCACCUCGAUGUCGGCUCAUCACAUCCUGGGGCUGAAGUAGGUCCCAAGGGUAUGGCUGUUCGCCAUUUAAAGUGGUACGCGAGCUGGGUUUAGAACGUCGUGAGACAGUUCGGUCCCUAUCUGCCGUGGGCGCUGGAGAACUGAGGGGGGCUGCUCCUAGUACGAGAGGACCGGAGUGGACGCAUCACUGGUGUUCGGGUUGUCAUGCCAAUGGCACUGCCCGGUAGCUAAAUGCGGAAGAGAUAAGUGCUGAAAGCAUCUAAGCACGAAACUUGCCCCGAGAUGAGUUCUCCCUGAGACUUAAAGUCUCCUGAAGGAACGUUGAAGACGACGACGUUGAUAGGCCGGGUGUGUAAGCGCAGCGAUGCGUUGAGCUAACCGGUACUAAUGAACCGUGAGGCUUAACCUUACAACGCCGAAG